UGGGGGAAUAUUGGACAAUGGGCGCAAGCCUGAUCCAGCAAUGCCGCGUGUGUGAAGAAGGCCUUCGGGUUGUAAAGCACUUUUAUCAGGAGCAAACGCUGUCGGCUAAUACCCGGCGGAACUGACGGUACCUGAGGAAUAAGCACCGGCUAACUUCGUGCCAGCAGCCGCGGUAAUUACGAAGGGUGCAAGCGUUAAUCGGAAUUACUGGGCGUAAAGCGUGCGUAGGCGGUUUCUUAAGUCUGCUGUGAAAUCCCCGGGCUCAACCUGGGAAUGGCAGUGGAUACUGGGAGGCUAGAGUGUGUCAGAGGGUGGUGGAAUUCCCGUGUAGCGGUGAAAUGCGUAGAGAUCGGGAGGAAC
rnacentral:rRNA from 1 species